rnacentral:siRNA from 1 species
GAGGACCUAGCUUAGAGGUUG